rnacentral:rRNA from 1 species
UCGAAGCCUCACAAGCAGUGCGACCCUGUGAAUUUGUUUGACUACUCGGGGGUGGCUAGAGGUGUUCGGCACCCCGGUCCCCCUCGUGUCGGGAGGCGCCCACCCUGCGUGGUCUCCUCCUGGCCCAAUAACAAAACCCCGGCGCCGAACGCGCCAAGGAAAAUGAAAUCGUUUAGUGCGCCCCCGUCGGCCCGGAGACGGUGCCCGUGCGGGCGGCGUUGCGACACGCGUAUCCGAA